GUGAGGAAUUUUCCGCAAUGGGCGAAAGCCUGACGGAGCAAUGUCGCGUGAAGGAUGAAGGCCUAUGGGUUGUAAACUUCUUUUCUCAGAAAAGAAUUAUGACGGUAUCUGAGGAAUAAGCAUCGGCUAACUCUGUGCCAGCAGCCGCGGUAAGACAGAGGAUGCAAGCGUUAUCCGGAAUGAUUGGGCGUAAAGCGUCUGUAGGUUGUUUAAAAAGUAUUCUGUCAAAGAUUAGGGCUUAACCCUAGAUAGGCAGAAUAAACUUUUAAGCUAGAGUUUGGUAGAGGCAGAGGGAAUUCCCGGUGGAGCGGUGAAAUGCGUAGAUAUCGGGAGGAACACCAAAGGCGAAGGCACUCUGCUGGGCCAAUACUAACACUGAGAGACGAAAGCGAGGGGAGCAAAUGGGAUUAGAAACCCGUGUAGUCC
rnacentral:rRNA from 1 species